rnacentral:rRNA from 1 species
GAUGAACGCUGGCGGCGUGCUUAACACAUGCAAGUCGAGCGAGUGAAUUCUUCGGAACGAUCUAGCGGCGGACGGGUGAGUAACACGUGGGCAACCUGCCUCAUAGAGGAGAAUAGCCUCCCGAAAGGGAGAUUAAUACCGCAUAGCAUCGUUGAAGGGCAUCCUCCGAUGAUCAAAGGAGCAAUCCGCUAUGAGAUGGGCCCGCGGCGCAUUAGCUAGUUGGUGAGGUAACGGCCCACCAAGGCGACGAUGCGUAGCCGACCUGAGAGGGUGAUCGGCCACAUUGGGACUGAGACACGGCCCAGACUCCUACGGGAGGCAGCAGUGGGGAAUAUUGCACAAUGGGGGAAACCCUGAUGCAGCAACGCCGCGUGAGUGAUGACGGCCUUCGGGUUGUAAAGCUCUGUCUUUGGGGACGAUAAUGACGGUACUCAAGGAGGAAGUCACGGCUAACUACGUGCCAGCCGCCGCCGUAA